GCCCGCCAGUCCCGGAGAUGGGCGACGCCACAACGAGAUGGCCGCCGACAAGCCAUCAAUACAAAUAUCCCCGAUUGCGCAAGAAGCUCCGCGCUGGAGCGGUGAGUACGAGGACAAAGGGCGCGAGACAGACUCCUCUACGCGUUCGUUUCCCGAAGAAGAAGUGACGCUCGAGAGGCUGAAAUAGUAUAUAUUGAAAGGAAAUAUCUCUCCCGGGAAGAAGAUUACCAUCAAGACACUUCGCGCACGAACACAUUUUUUUACUUUUUAACUUCCUGUUCUUCCCGACUGAAAAAUAUGUUCUUCUUGACUGUGCAA